rnacentral:rRNA from 1 species
AAUGAACGCUGGCGGCGUGCCUAACACAUGCAAGUAGAACGCUGAAGGAGGAGCUUACUUCUCUGGAUGAGUUGCGAACGGGUGAGUAACGCGUAGGUAACCUGCCUGGUAGCGGGGGAUAACUAUUGGAAACGAUAGCUAAUACCGCAUAAGAGUAGAUGUUGCAUGACAUUUACUUAAAAGGUGCAAUUGCACCACUACCAGAUGGACCUGCGUUGUAUUAGCUAGUUGGUGGGGUAACGGCUUACCAAGGCGACGAUACAUAGCCGACCUGAGAGGGUGAUCGGCCACACUGGGACUGAGACACGGCCCAGACGCCUACGGGAGGCAGCAGGAGGGAAUCUUCGGCAAUGGACGGAAGUCUGACCGAGCAACGCCGCGUGAGUGAAGAAGGUUUUCGGAUCGUAAAGCUCUGUUGUAAGAGAAGAACGAGUGUGAGAGUGGAAAGUUCACACUGUGACGGUAUCUUACCAGAAAGGGACGGCUAACUACGUGCCAGCCGCCGCCGUAA